GACGAACGCUGGCGGCGUGCCUAAUACAUGCAAGUCGAACGCAGUGGGGACUGGUGAGUAACACGUUGGUAACCUCCCAUCAGAGGGGAUAACACUUUGAAACAGGUGCUAAACCGACACUGCUGGAUGAACCCGCGGUGCAUUAGCUAGUUGGCGGGGUAACGGCUCACCAAGGCCACGAUGCAUACACGGCCGGAGAGGGUGAUCGGCAACACUGGAACUGGGACACGGCCCAGACUCCUACGGGAGGCAGCAGUAGGGAAUCUUCGGCAAUGGACGAAAGUCUGACCGAGCAACGCCGCGUGAGUGAAGAAGGUUUUCGGAUCGUAAAACUCUGUUGUUAGAGAAGCGGUAUCUAACCAGAAAGCCACGGCUAACUACGUGCCAGCAGCCGCGGUAAUAC
rnacentral:rRNA from 1 species